rnacentral:rRNA from 1 species
AUUGAACGCUGGCGGCAUGCUUUACACAUGCAAGUCGAACGGCAGCGCGGGCUUCGGCCUGGCGGCGAGUGGCGAACGGGUGAGUAAUGCAUCGGAACGUGCCCAGUAGUGGGGGAUAGCCCGGCGAAAGCCGGGUUAAUACCGCAUACGACCUGAGGGUGAAAGCGGGGGACCGAAAGGCCUCGCGCUAUUGGAGCGGCCGAUGUCGGAUUAGCUAGUUGGUGGGGUAAAGGCUUACCAAGGCGACGAUCCGUAGCUGGUCUGAGAGGACGACCAGCCACACUGGGACUGAGACACGGCCCAGACUCCUACGGGAGGCAGCAGUGGGGAAUUUUGGACAAUGGGGGCAACCCUGAUCCAGCCAUGCCGCGUGCGGGAAGAAGGCCUUCGGGUUGUAAACCGCUUUUGUUCGGGAAGAAAUCCUCUGAGCUAAUACCCCGGGGGGAUGACGGUACCGGAAGAAUAAGCACCGGCUAACUACGUG